rnacentral:rRNA from 1 species
UGGGGAAUUUUGGACAAUGGGCGAAAGCCUGAUCCAGCAAUGCCGCGUGUGUGAAGAAGGCCUUCGGGUUGUAAAGCACUUUUGUCCGGAAAGAAAUCCUUGGCUCUAAUACAGUCGGGGGAUGACGGUACCGGAAGAAUAAGCACCGGCUAACUACGUGCCAGCAGCCGCGGUAAUACGUAGGGUGCAAGCGUUAAUCGGAAUUACUGGGCGUAAAGCGUGCGCAGGCGGUUUGCUAAGACCGAUGUGAAAUCCCCGGGCUCAACCUGGGAACUGCAUUGGUGACUGGCAGGCUAGAGUAUGGCAGAGGGGGGCAGAAUUCCACGUGUAGCAGUGAAAUGCGUAGAGAUGUGGAGGAAUACCGAUGGCGAAGGCAGCCCCCUGGGCCAAUACUGACGCUCAUGCACGAAAGCGUGGGGAGCAAACAGGAUUAGAUACCCUGGUAGUCCACGCCCUAAACGAUGUCACUAGUUGUUGGGGAUUCAUUUCCUUAGUACGUAGCUAACGCGUGAAGUUGACCGCCUGGGGAGUACGGUCGCAAGAUUAAAACUCAAAGGAAUUGACGGGGUCAUAGCUGUUUCCU